ACACUCCCCAUGCGUGUCUGAUGGCUCCAUACAAGUCAAAAGAAGACUCCUGAGGAGUGCUUGUCAUGUCUACACACCAGACAGGAAGAAGACAAGCUUCCCUCCAGCUGUGAGAGGGGUCUCUCGAGAGGCGUGGUCUCAGGUGGAGGAGGAGUUCCCAUGGAUCUGAGGCGCUCACUCCGGCUUCAUCUGCUCCUCACCAAUUACAGUUACAAAGACACUCCUCCUGAGGAAGACCACAUUUCCCAAGUAUCUGGAGUCAACAUUCAGACCACGGUUUGCUGAAGACAAGGAAAUGAAUGCCAAAUGUUCAAUGACCUCACUGAGCUCUUCUGAAGGGCCCUGGCUCACCUGCGGGGCCCUGGCUACCAGCAAUGUCUGGGCUUCUUUAUAGUAGUCCUGGUUAGACCCCUGCUGUCUCUGGUCCCUCUCCACAACCACUGCUUCUCUGUGACACUGGAGUGGUAAGUUUAGCUUACCCAGCUAACACAACUCAGAUCAACAAUAUGGCGUGGACAUAAACCCAUCCAGAGACCAGAGCCAUAGCCCAUUUUGGCUCAUAACACCCUGGGGUCACUAAGGGAGGGACAAAACUUCAUUUGUCACCUGUUGAUGGAUUGGAUUUAAAAACUGCCCACGAAAAUACGCAUGUAGUCCUUAGCCCCUGGUAUCUCGGAAUAUGACCUUUUUUGAAAAUAGGGUCUUUGGGACUAGUUGAAAUGAGGUCAUAAUCAUGAAAGAUACAUCCCUAAUCCAACAUGACUGGUCCUUAAAACACCGCUGUGUGCAAGUGUGACACAGAGGUGAAGACAUCAUGUGACAGUGGGCAGAGUGGGUGAUGUACUAAAGCUAAGAGUUUCCCAGGAGCGCAGCACCAGCAGAAGCUGGAGAGGCUAGGAGAGAUUCCCCUCAGCCUCACCAGGGCCCGUCAUGCCUGACCCCCAUCCAGAUGUGGUCCAGGGGUGCAAGAAAGUGUUUCUGCUGUGUGAGACCUCCUAGCUUGGCGUGUUGGAGGCAUCACCGGGUCCUCAUGCACCAGCUCUAGCCCCCGACAGGUGGCUACACCGUGAGCUCAGCCAAGAAGCAGGUGUC
rnacentral:lncRNA from 1 species